UACAGAGGGGUGCAAGCGUUUGUUUCGGGAAUUAUUGGGCGUAAAGGGCGCGUAGGCGGUGCGGUAAGUCUGUAGUGAAAUCUCUGGGGCUCAACUCAGAGUCUGCUAUAGAAACUGCCGUGCUUGAGUGUGGGAGAGGUGAGUGGAAUUCCCGGUGUAGCGGUGAAAUGCGUAGAUAUCGGGGAGGAACACCUGUGGCGAAAGCGGCUCACUGGACCACAACUGACGCUGAGGCGCGAAAGCUA
rnacentral:rRNA from 1 species